rnacentral:lncRNA from 1 species
AGAUUUUCUCUAUCUUUUUUUUUUUCACAAACUCAUGCCCAAAACCCAGCAAAAUGGGAUGCUAAAUUUGAUGUAGCACCCCCCUUUAAAUAGGAAAGGAAGGGGCACCACAUCCUCCCAAGGGACGUCAAUUCUUGGGGCCUCCUUUUCUUCACACGGUGAUUUAAUUCACCAUAUGAUAAUUUAUGGUAUGGAAGAGCCUUCAUACAGAAGAACUCCUCCCCUUUUGUGCCAUAAAUUUACAUAAAUAUUGGAAUGUCAUUUUAAGAGAUGGCAUGGGAAGAUAAGAAGGAAGUUAAGAGGAGUAAUUAAAAAGGACUCCUCCUUCUUAACACCAUAAUUAAAUGGGGUGCUGUAUUUAAUAAGGCAUGGAGAUUUGGUGAGGUGGCAUGGAGGAAGUUAGGUUCACAUGAAACUCUUCCAUGUGAUAAGGUAAGGAACCAAAAGUUCAAACCUAAUCCUAUUAUGUCAAGGCAUUAGGUUAGACUUAGCUCAAACACCUUAGAACUAACCUUAUUGCAAACUUGGGUUAAUACAAUGUGCCAGCAUGUUAAUUUAACCCAUAGGAUUUAUAAUAAAUUUAAUUAGAUCAAACCAAGAUCAAAUCUUAAAGUGCGUGAUCCAUUAGGUUCCAUAUCUAGCCAAU